rnacentral:rRNA from 1 species
AACGAACGCUGGCGGCAGGCUUAACACAUGCAAGUCGAGCGCCCCGCAAGGGGAGCGGCAGACGGGUGAGUAACACGUGGGAAUCUACCCAUCCCUGCGGAACAACUCCGGGAAACUGGAGCUAAUACCGCAUACGCCCUUCGGGGGAAAGAUUUAUCGGGGAUGGAUGAGCCCGCGUCGGAUUAGCUAGUUGGUGGGGUAAAGGCCUACCAAGGCGACGAUCCGUAGCUGGUCUGAGAGGAUGAUCAGCCACACUGGGACUGAGACACGGCCCAGACUCCUACGGGAGGCAGCAGUGGGGAAUAUUGGACAAUGGGCGCAAGCCUGAUCCAGCCAUGCCGCGUGAGUGAUGAAGGCCUUAGGGUUGUAAAGCUCUUUCACCGAUGAAGAUAAUGACGGUAGUCGGAGAAGAAGCCCCGGCUAACUUCGUGCCAGCCGCCGCGGUAAUAC